UACGUAGGGCGCAAGCGUUGUCCGGAAUUAUUGGGCGUAAAGAGCUCGUAGGCGGCUUGUCACGUCGGGUGUGAAAGCCCGGGGCUUAACCCCGGGUCUGCAUUCGAUACGGGCUAGCUAGAGUGUGGUAGGGGAGAUCGGAAUUCCUGGUGUAGCGGUGAAAUGCGCAGAUAUCGGGAGGAACACCAGUAGCGAAGGCGGCACUCUGGGCCGGUACUGACGCUGAGGAGCGAAAGCGUGGGGAGCAAACAGG
rnacentral:rRNA from 1 species